ensembl:snRNA U6 U6 spliceosomal RNA
GUGCUUGCUUCGGCAGCACGUAUACUAAAAUUGGAACGAUACAGAGAAGAUCAGCAUGGGGUCUGCGCAAGGAUGACUCACAAAUUUGUGCAGCGUUCCAUAUUUUU